rnacentral:rRNA from 1 species
GAUGAACGCUGGCGGCGUGCCUCAAACAUGCAAGUCGAGCGGGGCUAUGUAAUAUCGCAAGGUAGAACAUAGCCUAGCGGCGAACGGGUGAGUAACACGUGGGUAACCUGCCUGGAAGACAGGGAUAACGAUUCGAAAGGGUCGCUAAUACCUGAUAAUAUCCUUUCAUCGCAUGGUGAUAGGAAGAAAGGGGAAACCCGCUUUCAGAUGGGCCCGCGUCCCAUCAGCUAGUUGGUAAGGUAAAGGCUUACCAAGGCGACGACGGGUAGCCGGUCUGAGAGGAUGUACGGCCACACUGGGACUGAGAUACGGCCCAGACUCCUACGGGAGGCAGCAGUUGGGAAUCUUAGGCAAUGGACGAAAGUCUGACCUAGCGACGCCGCGUGAGGGAAGAAGGCCUUCGGGUUGUAAACCUCUGUCAUGGGGAAGAAGUAAGUGACGGUACCCAACGAGGAAGCCCCUGCUAACUACGUG